CACUGAACGGGUCAACGGGUAGGAUGUGCGAGAGCGCUUCCCAAUCUCUAAAUCCGCUCGUGCUGGGGAUCGAGGCUUGCAAUUUUCCCUCUUGAACGAGGAAUACCUUGUAAGCGCGGGUCAUCAUCCCGUGCUGAAUACGUCCCUGCCCUUUGUACACACCGCCCGUCGCUCCUACCGAUUGAGUGGUCCGGUGAGGCCUUGGGAGGGAUGGAUGGACUGUGUUUUCACAGACUGUCUGGCCCGAACUUGGUCAAACCUUAUCACUUAGAGGAAGGAGAAGUCGUAACAAGGUUUCCGUAGGUGAACCUGCGGAAGGAUCAUUCGUAGUGGGAUAGCGGACUCGGCACCUUGUGUGUCUGGUCUGCUUUUCUAUCAUAUCUCGUGAACACUUUUAAUCCAUAUUUUUGUUUUACAACCAUUUCAACCCAUUUGAACAUAAAUAAACACAAAAUUCUGUUUAACCAGACAAAAACUCGUGACGGUGGAUGUCUUGGCUCCAGCAACGAUGAAGAACGCAGCAAAAUGCGAUACGUAGUGCGAAUUGCAGAACCCGUGAAUCAUCGAAUCUUUGAACGCAAGUUGCGCUCGCGGGUAAUCCUGCGAGCAUGUCUGUUUGAGUGUCCGCACAAAUGCGACUUUUGCUCUUUCAUAAAAGAGCUGCUGAUGGGCGUGCAGAAAUGCAGUGAGUCCGGGUCCUUUCCGUUCAUCGGUUGGGAUGCGGUCGCCCGAAGAAGAGAGCGCUGAUUGUCGUGGUCUGUCCUUUUACUUUAUCCUUUGGAUUCAGGGGGCUUUUGGGUGCGGUCUUCCAAGACUGCUGCCUGAUGACACGAUCUGAGCGUGCGCUGCGAAGUAAUUUUAUUGAGCAGUCCGCGAAGUUCGUUUAUUAGGAACGCGAAUCAUUCAUUUGUGAGCGACCGGGAGUGUUUUCUGGCCUUUGGUGUCAAAAGYGUGCAGCCGUGCGCAAGUAGCCAAAAACCAUUUUCAUUUUGGAUCUCAAAUCAGACAAGACGACCCGCUGAAUUU
rnacentral:rRNA from 1 species